rnacentral:lncRNA from 1 species
GAGAGAGAGAGAGAGAGAGAGAGAGAGAGAGGAGUUGGGUGUCCGAGGGAGGAGCUUUCAAUAUAGGAAGAAAGAGCACUUCAGAAACACCCUGCUGUCAAAUUAAUAACUGACAUAGAAUCUGUUGUGGAACUGUACAAUCCAAUAGUGUAGUAAAGUAACUUUAACAGAAAAGUAACAAUGAUAGUAAAGUAACUAACAGUAUAGUAACUGUGGAAGUAAAGUAACUUUAACAGUAUAGUAACUGUGGUAGUAAAGUAACUUUAACAGUAUAGUAAACUGUGAUAGUAAAGUAACUUUAACAGCAUAAUACCUGUGAUAGUAAAGUAACUUUAACACCAUAGUGACUGAGGAGUAACUGACCAGAAUGAAGAUACUCCAUGUUGUCUUCUGCUGUCUCCUCUCAGGUGAGGUCUGUCUGUCUGUCUGUCUGUCUGUCUGUCUGUCUGUCUGUCUGUCUGUCUGUCUGUCUGUCUGUCUGUCUGUCUGUCUGUCUGUCUGUCUGUAUCAGUUUUCAUAAUACUGUCUGGGUCAUAUAGUACAUAAGGAAUAAGAUAUGUAUUUGUCUAUAAGGAGCCAGAAAGUUUUACAGUUCUGAGUUUGUUUUUCACAUGUACCUUAUGAUAAUGUUCUGAACUCCAAAUAUUUGAUAUUUUGGUCUUUUACCUGGGUUUGUGCAGGGUUAAAGUAAGAUUUGAGUAGGGUUACAGUUAGGUUUCAGCAGGGUUAAAGUAAGAUUUGAGCAGGGUUAAAGUAAGACUUGAGUAGGGUUACAGUUAGGUUUUAGCAGGGUUAAAGUAAGACUUGAGCAGGGUUCAAGUAAGAUUUACCUAGGAUUAAAGUUAGAUUUGAGCAGGGUUCAAGUAAGAUUUGAGCAGGAUUAAAGUUAGAUUUGAGCAGGGUAAAAGUAUGAUUUACCCAGGAUUAAAGUUAGAUUUGAGCAGGGUUCAAGUAAGAAUUACCCAGGAUUAAAGUUAGAUUUGAGCAGGGUUAAAGUAAGAUUUACCCAGGAUUAAAGUUAGAUUUGAGCAGGGUUCAUGUUAGAUUUGAGCAGGGUUAAAGUUGGAUUUGAGCAGGGUUCAAGUUAGAUUUGAGCAGGGUUAAAGUUAGAUUUGAGCAGGGUUAAAGUUAGAUUUGAGCAGGGUUCAAGUAAGAAUUACCCAGGAUUAAAGUUAGAUUUGAGCAGGGUUGAAGUAAGAUUUACCCAGGAUUAAAGUUAGAUUUGAGCAGGGUUAAAGUAAGAUUUACCCAGGAUUAAAGUUAGAUUUGAGCAGGGUUCAUGUUAGAUUUGAGCAGGGUUCAAGUUAGAUUUGAGCAGGGUUAAAGUUAGAUUUGAGCAGGGUUAAAGUUAGAUUUGAGCAGGGUUAAAGUUAGAUUUGAGCAGGGUUAAAGUUAGAUUUGAGCAGGGUUCAUGUUAGAUUUGAGCAGGGUUAAAGUUAGAUUUGAGCAGGGUUCAAGUUAGAUUUGUGCAGGGUUAAAGUUAGAUUUUGAGCAGGGUUAAAGUUAGAUUUGAGCAGGGUUAAAGUUAGAUUUGAGCAGGGUUAAAGUUAGAUUUGAGCAGGGUUAAAGUUAGAUUUGAGCAGGUUAAAGUUAGAUUUGAGCAGGGUUAAAGUAAGAUUUGAGCUGGGUUAAAGUUAGAUUUGAGCAGGGUUAAAGUAAAAUUUGAGCUGGGUUAAAGUUAGAUUUGAGCAGGGUUAAAGUAAAAUUUGAGCAGUUUUAAAGUAUAUCUCACAGGUCAACAGUUGUGACUGUACUGUGUGUUUCUGUUUGACAGCUCUGUGUGUUGUGGAGUCAGCUGUCAUUAAGGAAGUGGUAGGAGGACAAUUCACUGUGGGCUGCUCAUUCACUUGGGCAGGGACCAACAAUAAAUACUUCUGCAAGGGGAGAUGUUCUAGUAAAGACAUUCUGGUUGCAACUAAGAGGAGCAAGACUGUAACUCAAGAUAGAUACAGUAUAGAAGACAAGGGAAAUGUAUUCUAUGUGACAAUCAAGGACCUGAGGAAGUCAGACUCAGGGACCUACUGGUGUGGAGUGGGGAGAUAUGGCCUAGACUCAUACCAAGAGGUGCAUCUCACAGUUACAGAUGGUAAGUUUACUCUCAAUAGAUAUUGGUAUCUAGUAUUUAUUAAUUAUGGAGAGGCUUCCUGACUUAUUUCCUGACAUGAAGUUGUUUCAGUAGUGGUGUUUAUCUGUACUUUCUAUUGACUCACAGCUCCUCCCACUUCUACACCGUCACCACUCACCUCCAGACCCCAUGUCUCCACAACCCUCCCAAACCUCUCUGCAACAUUAUCUAACAUCUCCACGUUUAUGGCAUCUGGAGACAUCAGUGGUCACUCUUCAUCAAGAGCAGGUAUGAUGCAUCUCUCAUCUUAGACAUUACAAGUACAUCUCUCUCUCUCUCUCUCUCAAUUCAAUUCAAUUCAAUUCAAUUCAAUUCAAAGGGCUUUAUUGACAUGGGAAACAUAUGUUUAUGUUGCCAAAUCAAGUGAAAUAGAUAAUGAACUAAAGUGAAAUAAACAAUCAAAAAUAAACAUUUCCCUCCCCAAAGUUCCAAAGGAAUAGAGACAUUUCAAAUGUCAUAUUCUCUGACCUCUUUAGAUUCUUCUCCAUUCUCGUGGAGCAGGACAGAGUCAUGUCUAUUGAUUUCAGUGGUGGCUGAAGUGUCAGAAGAAAGAAGUCAGAUUUAGCUAACAAAUCAUUUACAUCUGUCCAAGGGAAGAUUUGAGGCAAUGUUGAUGUGUCUCUCAGAGGCCCACAGGAAGUGAUGCAACAUUUGAGGUUUUGUGGAGAGCUGCUGCUGACACUAUGGCCUCUGUUGCUAUGGUGACUAUGAUCACUAUCUUAAUCAGUCUCUUUAUCACACCUUUAUUAUCCAUCUUCUCUGUCUCUAUGUAUAUCUGUCUGUCUGUCUAUCUGUCUGUCUGUUUUUGUCUGUAUGUCUGUUUUUGUCUGUAUGUCUAUCUGCGUUUAUGUCUGGAUGUUUCUGUCUGUCUGUCUGUCUCUCUCUUUGCCUGUCUGUCUGUCUGUCUGUUUUUGUCUGUAUGUCUAUCUGCGUUUAUGUCUGGAUGUGUCUGUCUGUCUGUCUCUUUGUCUGUCUGUCUGUGUAUUUGUCUGUAUGUCUAUCUGCAUGUUUCUGUCUGUCUGUCUGUCUGUCUGUCUUUGUCUGUCUGUCUGUUUUUGUCUGUAUGUCUGUUUUUGUCUGUAUGUCUAUCUGCGUUUCUGUCUGUCUGUCUGUCUGUCUGUGUAUUUGUCUGUAUGUCUAUCUGCGUUUAUGUCUGUAUGUUUCUGUCUGUCUGUCUGUUUUUGUCUGUAUGUCUGUUUUUUUCUGUAUGUCUAUCUGCGUUUAUGUCUGGAUGUGCCUGUCUGUAUGUCUGUCUGUCUGUCUGUCUGUCUGCCUCUGUCUGUAUGUCUGUCUGUCUCUUUGCCUGUCUGUCUGCUCUCUCUCUCUCUCUCUUUGUCUGUCUGUCUUUGUCUGUAUGUCUGUUGUCUGUAUGUCUAUCUGCGUUUCUGUCUGUCUGUCUGUCUGUGUAUUUGUCUGUAUGUCUAUCUGCGUUUAUGUCUGUAUGUUUCUGUCUGUCUGUCUGUCUGUUUUUGUCUGUAUGUCUGUUUUUGUCUGUAUGUCUAUCUGCGUUUCUGGUCAGGUCUGAUGGUAUCUGUGAUAUAUACAGUACUCUGUAAAGUCUCUCCUCCUGUCUGUGGUCAGGUCUGAUGGUAUCUAUGAUAUAUACAGUACUCUGUAAAGUCUCUCCUCCUGUCUGUGGUCAGGUCUGAUGGUAUCUAUGAUAUAUACAGUACUCUGUAAAGUCUCUCCUCCUGUCUGUGGUCAGGUCUGAUGGUAUCUAUGAUAUAUACAGUACUCUGUAAAGUCU